rnacentral:rRNA from 1 species
UUCUUUGCUGACGAGCGGCGGACGGGUGAGUAAUGCCUGGGAAAUUGCCUUGAUGUGGGGGAUAACCAUUGGAAACGAUGGCUAAUACCGCAUAAUGCCUUCGGGCCAAAGAGGGGGACCUUCGGGCCUCUCGCGUCAAGAUAUGCCCAGGUGAGAUUAGCUUGUUGGUGAGGUAAGAGCUCACCAAGGCGACGAUCUCUAGCUGGUCUGAGAGGAUGAUCAGCCACAUUGGGACUGAGACACGGCCCAAACUCCUACGGGAGGCAGCAGUGGGGAAUAUUGCACAAUGGGCGCAAGCCUGAUGCAGCCAUGCCGCGUGUAUGAAGAAGGCCUUCGGGUUGUAAAGUACUUUCAGCAGUGAGGAAGGGGUGAUGUUUAAUAGACACCAUUCUUGACGUUAGCUGCAGAAGAAGCACCGGCUAACUCCGUGCCAGCAGCCGCGGUAAUACGGAGGGUGCGAGCGUUAAUCGGAAUUACUGGGCGUAAAGCGCAUGCAGGUGGUCUGUUAAGUCAGAUGUGAAAGCCCGAGGCUUAACCUCGGAAUUGCAUUUGAAACUGGCAGGCUAGAGUACUGUAGAGGGGGGUAGAAUUUCAGGUGUAGCGGUGAAAUGCGUAGAGAUCUGAAGGAAUACCAGUGGCGAAGGCGGCCCCCUGGACAGAUACUGACACUCAGAUGCGAAAGCGUGGGGAGCAAACAGGAUUAGAUACCCUGGUAGUCCACGCCGUAAACGAUGUCU